AGCUAGAAAAAGUCCUACAACAAGGAGACAUUGGAGAGUGUGCAGAACCAUAUAUGAUUUUCAAAGAAGCAGAUGCCACCAAGAAUAAGGAAAAAUUGGAGAAGCUGAAAAGUCAAGCUGAUCAGUUUUGCCAAAGACUUGGGAAAUAUCGCAUGCCCUUUGCUUG